GUCUCCGUAGUUUAAUGGAUAGAACAUUGGGUUCCGGACCCAAAGGUUGGAGGUUCGAAUCCUCUCGGAGACG
rnacentral:tRNA from 1 species